GCUACUUGAAGAAAGGUGGUCCUUCCUGUGGUUGCUUGAUUUGUAAUGAACGUAUAAGACUAAGCUCUCUCUGAGGAGC
rnacentral:pre_miRNA from 1 species